UACGUAGGGUGCAAGCGUUAAUCGGAAUUACUGGGCGUAAAGCGUGCGCAGGCGGUUCGCUAAGACAGAUGUGAAAUCCCCGGGCUUAACCUGGGAACUGCAUUUGUGACUGGCGGGCUAGAGUAUGGCAGAGGGGGGUAGAAUUCCACGUGUAGCAGUGAAAUGCGUAGAGAUGUGGAGGAAUACCGAUGGCGAAGGCAGCCCCCUGGGCCAAUACUGACGCUCAUGCACGAAAGCGUGGGGAGCAAA
rnacentral:rRNA from 1 species